GGAAUUUAAUUGAAACAGAUACCCAGUUUCCAAAGUGUAGGAAAGGUGUAUCUCCUUCCUUGGGAUGGAGCAAGGAGAAAACCUUGCCAGUGUUUAUCUGAGGAUCUUAUCACCAGCGGUCUGGCCUCCCUAAGAAUAUGGACAAAGUAUUUCACUAUUGCAGAAGGGCUGUCCUCGUUUCUGGUAUAUUGGUUUGGUAUGCCCUGGACAGAACAAGAUGGCAGGCUGGACCUAGGAAAUCAGUAAAGAAGAACCUGGAAGGAAUUGCCUGAAGAGCUGGAGCUGCCCAGGAGAAUGCAGGUGCCCUCACAACCGCAGUCAUGGAGUGCAGUCCUGCAGAGAGAAUGAAGCUACCAAAGAGAACACAGAUACAGGAUGCUCAAGUUAAAUAAGACCACAGCAUCACGAAGUCCUUUUCAUUAGAAAGUUAAAGAGACACCCAGAAAGCUACAAAGCAAAUUGGAGAGAUUCCAAGACUUCAGUAGAAAUCACUAAUAGAGGAGAUUUCAUGACUGUGCUUUGAGCGAGUGCAAAAGCAUAAAGCAAAGAACUGUGAUGAACACCAGGAGUCCUGAAGUAGAAUAGGACUCAUAGCAGGACAAGAACAAUAUAUGUCAUCCAGAAGAGGGUCCAGAAAAAAUACAGAUUAUUCUCAGCCACACUACAUGGAUUUAUCAUUAGUUCUUUAGUAAGGAAGAACAAGAAAUCAAUAGCAGACCCAUUCUAAAAUCUUAACUAUAAAGAUCUCAUUAUACUAUG